UUUCCGUAGGUGAACCUGCGGAAGGAUCAUUACAGAGUUCAUGCCCUCACGGGUAGAUCUCCCACCCUUGAAUAUUUAUACCUUAGUUGCUUUGGCAGGCCGUGGAAACACCAUGGGCUCCGGCUUAUGCGUGCCUGCCAGAGGAAACAAACUCUGUUUUUAGUGACGUCUAAGUACUAUAUAAUAGUUAAAACUUUCAACAACGGAUCUCUUGGUUCUG
rnacentral:misc_RNA from 1 species